rnacentral:rRNA from 1 species
AGUGGACGCUGGCGGUAGGCCUAACACAUGCAAGUCGAACGGCAGCACAGUAAGAGCUUGCUCUUACGGGUGGCGAGUGGCGGACGGGUGAGGAAUACAUCGGAAUCUACUUUUUCGUGGGGGAUAACGUAGGGAAACUUACGCUAAUACCGCAUACGACCUACGGGUGAAAGCAGGGGAUCUUCGGACCUUGCGCGAUUGAAUGAGCCGAUGUCGGAUUAGCUAGUUGGCGGGGUAAAGGCCCCCCAAGGCGACGAUCCGUAGCUGGUCUGAGAGGAUGAUCAGCCACACUGGAACUGAGACACGGUCCAGACUCCUACGGGAGGCAGCAGUGGGGAAUAUUGGACAAUGGGCGCAAGCCUGAUCCAGCCAUACCGCGUGGGUGAAGAAGGCCUUCGGGUUGUAAAGCCCUUUUGUUGGGAAAGAAAAGCAGCAGGUUAAUACCCCGCUGUUCUGACGGUACCCAAAGAAUAAGCACCGGCUAACUUCGUG